rnacentral:miRNA from 2 species
CUAAGUACUGGUGCCGCGGGA